CUACCUCCUCCUCAGGGGCAGAAGGAGCCACAGGGCUUCACUAAUGGAGAGCAAAAGCAGAGACUGAGAAGGACGGAGGGGAUGGCCCGCCCUGCCUCCUCACUGGGAAUGUGUAUUUCUGGUCCUGUCUUAGGGAAGGGACAAGGACAGAAAGGGGUGGAUACAGGGCCGUGGGGGAGAAGUUAGGUGUGGAGGGGGAAGGAGACAGCCUUGAGACUCCUGUGGGAAGUGGCUGAGGAAGGUGGGGCUGGGCAGCUAGGAGCAGACUGCAGGAGUGCAGAUGGGGGUCCCUCAAUUCCUGCAGGACCAUCUUGGGCAGAAGUUGCAGGUGCAGGCUGUGCAGGGCACAGCUGGCUCCCAUGGGCAGAAGACUUUUCAUUAGGUAGAUGUUAUCCACCAGUGGCCUGGCUGCCUCAAAUGGUAGUGAGCAGCCUGUCACCAGAGGUAUACAAGCAAAACCAGGGCCGUAGGAGAAGAUGUGAGCACCAGCGGGUAUUAGACAAAUGUGUUUAAGUGUCUGGAAGCAUCAAUGCCUGGGCGUGGGUUUGGUGGGUCAGGGGCUAAGGCAGGGGCCUGGGAGUUUUCACCUCUGAGAUUGGCCCAGCAGCCAGCUGAAGUGGGGCCAGGCAGCCCGCACCAUGACAGCCCGCACGGGGAAGGUGACCUUCUGUGGCAGUGCUCCCACCAGUCCCUGCAUCUUUUCCACCAUGGCUCUGGUGUAUGUUCUGUUCGGGAACAGGGGCACAUAGAGGGUGGUCCAACCCGGAGACAGGGUGGCCUCAGGAUAGUUCUCCUGGACCAAGGCCAGAAACCUGCAGAGAAAUCAGAGACACUGGUCUUUGAGAGCCUUGCUGUCCCCUUCCCCAUCUCCUGGGAUCCCAUCACCGUGCUAGGAAGUGACAAGGCCCGGUGAAUAUAGAAUAUAAGGACAGAAGCAGAGUCCUGAAGAACAUAAGUGACUUAUUUAGGUCCUAUAAAUAAGGCACGGACUUUGGAGUCAGGGGUUCUAGGUUCCAGGUUCAGGUCCUGACUCUGUAACCUUGGGCAGCUCACUCAACCUCUUUGAUUCUCAAAGAUGGCGUCCCUUUUGGGAGGGCAGGGCCUCUGAAGCGUCCCCAUCUGGACCGGGGAGACAAGCCAGGGCCCCCUGAUGUGGGAAUUUGGACUCUGCCAGCUUGAGUGAAAUCGACACUCCAAGAAGAUGAGCCAUAUUUAUCUUGGGGCCACUGACUGCAUUGUCCCAACUGCUGCUUUCCAAAUGCAUCUCAGUUUGAGAAUCACAAUAAACACUGGAUGGAUGGAUUGUUGGCUGGCUGGACAGAUGGACAGAUGGAUGUUAGAAUCAGAAAGGCCUGGCUUUGAAUCUUUGCUUUGCAAUCAUUAGAGUUAGGCCCGUCGCGUAACUCCAACGAGAUUGUUCUUCUGUUAAUAAAAUGAAAAUAAUAGCACCUACCUCAUUCUCUUGAUAACUCAAGUGCCUUUUGAAAGAGGGGCUGGGCACAUAAUAAACAUUCAACAAAUUGA